GUUACAUGUUGGUGUGAGACUGUGCUGUGUGACUGAGACACCACAGUUCAGUCCUACCUCCUCAGAUGGCGGUGUCUGAUGGCAGGAUAUGCCCUUAUGAGAACAUACAUAUUUUCACAGAAUCUUCAGUUUCCUGUCAGUAAGACAUGUUAGGUAUGUUUUAAUGACAACUCCAGACUAGAGGAGGCUGGUGCUAAGUAUUUUGCAGCUAUGUAGAUAAUGCCAACAAAACAAAACAAAAAAACAAACAAACAAACAAAAAAACAAACCCAGAAGCUGAAUGUCAAGUUAGAUGUAGAUGUAAUUGGGCCAAGUAUUAACUGAAGAAAGUGGGUAUAGCAGCAGGCCUUUGAAUACUAGAGUAGGCUUGGCUUUUACCAUGAAAAAAUUUCAUUUAGACUCACAGCUAAAAAUGUCACUGCUGUGUGUGUACUCACUUCAGCUCAGAAAAUGUGGAAAAUAUGAUCUUCCAAAAUUCCCUUGUGUUUUUUAACCACACAGAAUCCUGGAACCCUCAGAGGUGAUGUGGAUACACAGAACAAUGCAAAUUUUAUGUAGUCACACAAAGUACAUGACCAAAAUGCUUUCCGAAUAUAAAUAAUACAGAUACAGAUGUCCCCCUUUGCUAAGAUGUAAGAAAUCACAAAGUGUAGUUCUAAAAUGCAAUGGCUAAAAGCUGUGUUUUCAAUUUAAAGUGAGAGCUGGGAGCAUGUGAAGAAUAAAUGAAAUGGUGAGAUUAAGCAAGACUGUGGGAUAAAUACUCUGGUUCAGAUAUAAAGGCUUUAGUGACAAUGUCAGAUGCCUGAGGGUGAGAGUGAAGGACAGAAAAGAUCAGGGUUAUAAAUAGUUUACAUAAAUUGAAGAAAUAGGUCUAAGAAUUCCAGAAGAGUAUAAGGAUGAAAUAGCAAAGAGUACAAAAAAGCCAGUGAGUAGAACAGAUGGGGAACUGAGAUUUGAGGACUGAAACAGCCAAGAUAAUAAGCAACCAACAACCACAAAGUUGGAGAAGAAAUCAUUGAGGGCAGGGAAGACAAUUGGAGCUGGAGGCUUGAAAGGCAGGAGCAAGACAGAAGAAAAUGGAAGAGAGAUGUUUUGAAGUAUAGUGAAAUCACGCAGCGCAACAUUUACUAUUUGAAAACUAAAGAUGAGUACAGGCCAAAGUCAUGAGUAUUGCUUUGAAGUGCCCAAAUGUUAGAAAAGACCAGCAAGUUUCAGAAUAAGCUCAUAUCUGACCUGAUUACUCGAAACCAAUGCUGUCUUUAUAAAAUAGGAAAAACAAAAUUGCACUUUGAAGCAAUCCUGAACUCAGUGUGCUUUGGCCCAAAUAUUGAUGAUGUAAGAAUUCUCCUUUUAAAAAAAAAUAAAGAAUUGUACCUUCAGCAGCUUUACAAACGCAGCUGUUGGGCAUAGGCUUCAAUUAUAUGUAAGUCAGUAUAUUGGUACCAGCUUGUGAAAAGAUCGUUAUAGGAUUCCUUUUUUUCCUUUUUUCCCUUCAAGGUCUUUUAGUUAACAGGAAACCCAAGUGAACUGGUACUUCCAUCUCAGAUUGAAAUUAGCUGAAUAAAAGUUUUCUUUCCAAGAUUUCCUGGCAUGAUGGAAGAGAAAAAUCUUGCAAUCUCUGAAUCUUACGUAAGUUAAACAUUUUGGAUCUAAAGUAGCAGGAGACACCUAGUAUUCCUACAAAAUUAAUGGAGGAGAUUUUGGAGAUCUUCUGGUGAUCCAGUUUUUGUCCAAAGAAAUUGUAGCUCUGGUAAAUAUGAAUAGAUAAUUUCAAAAUACAUUUUCUGUACUUUUCCCUCAUCUUUCACCCAAUUCCAAGUGGUGUCUUAAUUAAACGUGAAGUGAUAUCUAAGCUAGGUCAUUACUUCUCCGCUAGUGAAAGCAGAUUAGAGUAGAAAUUGACAAAAACUUCUACAUGUCUAAGGAAUUUAAAUAGCUGUGUAAAAAAUGGGGUGUUUUUGAAUAACAUUGAGUUAUUCAACUAGAUGUUGAAGUUUUCAGCUAGCUUUCAAAAUACCCAGUCUUGGUGUGUAAGCUCUGCAUCAAGCAUGCAUCUAUUUUAGCACAUAGAUUCAGCCACACUAGGGAAAAAGGCUAUUUUUAAGACAAUGAAAUAUUUCAUCUUUUACUUGGAACAUACACUUGGUUGAUGUUAUAUGUUAACAUUUCUACAUUUACUUACUUUAACUGAACUUAUUCCUUUUUGGUCAGGGAAUAAGAAGGAAAAUAAAGUAGUACCAUAAACCAGCUACAUAAAAAGUUUUAAAAGCACAGGAAGUGAAAUGCAAACAAACCAAUUUGUUUCCACCUUAACUUUUUUUUAUUCUAUUUCAUUUUAUCAAUUCAGGUUGUUUUGCUUUCUGACAGGAAAAAUAUCUUACUUUUUUCUUCUGCUCUAAAUCAUUUUAACAUCACUGGGAAACUCUUAUAUCUUACUUCAGCCUGACGAAAAUAUUUGCAGAUGUGCAGAAACAUGCU
rnacentral:lncRNA from 1 species